UAUCGUGGCGACAAACUACAAAAGUCAGAUUUGGAACUCACAACAUGAUCAAUCCCAACGACUUUCUGUCACUUGGAAUUCUUGAAUCAGAAUUCUUGGAAGAGUCACGUUCCUUGUUACUCAACGCCCUCUUGAGUAGGUCUUUUGACUUCUCCUUUGCGUAGGAAAACCUCAAUAGAGUCGACUUGCUAUAUGAACCCAAUUAGCAAAUUAGGGAAACCGUCUUCAAAUUUAUAUUUUUCGAUAUAAUAAUUGACAAAAUCGGAAAAAACAAGCUCCAACCAUGAAAAACCUUGCCACCCUCUUCCACGCUCACUUAUUUUUGAAUAAGCUACUAAAAACUUUGUGUCCCUCUUUCAACUGUCACUUCUUUGGAUUUUAAGGUUUUACCUUCACCCUCUACUCACCCUCGAAAUUGAGAAUCUAUUCGGCUCAAAGUCUGCCCAUUGUUGAAAGUACAGAUGAUUCAAAUCUUGUUAAUCACUCUUUGCUAUUCACAUCAAUAGUCUUCCCAAGUGAUUCUCAAUGAACCAGCUAAAUGCAACUAAGAUAGCUAAUUAGCAUUUGCAAUAAUCAUUUAGCAGAAGACAACAAGAAUAUCACAAAGUUAAGGUUUUUUUUUUCUCGCUCCGCAUAAAUGCAACAAUAAUUGCCAUUUGUGUCCUUUUAAGUUUAUAUAAAUUAAUUAACCAAGGAUUAGGAUGAAUUCUUCGAGAGGACCAUGUUGCAAAUUUUCUUUAACAGCGCAUAAAGUAGGUCUAUCCAAUAGUUUUAAACCAGUUAAAAGGUCCUUUUGUAUUGUUUAAUGAAGUCCCAAGAGCACAAGUGUAGAACCAUUAUACAAGUAAUUAUCACCUACUUGUUAUUUUUAGUAUGGAGUUCUCCUUAAAUUGCUAUUUAUAGUUCAAACAAGAAGAAGUAUAAUGCAAUAAGUGCAUCUAUGUUUCCCAACAUGAAGACCUCUUCUAUAACAACACUCCUCUUCUUAGCUGUCCUGCUAUUUGCAUUUGGGUUAAAAUCAGGGGAAUGCCAACUAUGCUCUUAUGGAACGGUGGAAAUGGAGAGAUGCUCAAUCCCUCAAUGUGCUUCAGACUGCCGGACUAAAGUCCAACAUUCAACAGGGAAAUGCAUUGCUAUCGACACUUGCUGUUGUGUCGCAAGAGCCCAAACACAUAAUUAAUUCUCUUAUUUCCUAUCAAGUGUUGUGUCUUCAGUUGUAAGUGAGUGAAUUAUGGUGUAUCUCUCUCUUUUUGAAACAUCCAGGGCCCUUUUUUGGUUUUAUUUUUUGAGUGUGUUAAUAUUGAUGUACUUUUAAAACUUUUAUAAUAAUCAUGUAAUGAGACUUUUUCUUGUCUUUUGUUUUUAAUGUUUGGGGGUUUACUUAGGAUGGUCCC